UACGUAGGCAGCGAGCGUUGUUCGGAUUCACUGGGCGUAAAGGGUGCGCAGGCGGUUGUGUGUGUCAGGGGUGAAAGCCCGGGGCUUAACCCCGGAAUUGCGCCUGAAACUACAUGACUAGAGCAUUGGAGAGGGUAGCGGAAUUCACGGUGUAGCAGUGAAAUGCGUAGAUAUCGUGAGGAACACCAGAGGCGAAGGCGGCUACCUGGACAAUUGCUGACGCUCAGGCACGAAAGCGUGGGGAGCAAAAGGG
rnacentral:rRNA from 1 species